rnacentral:rRNA from 1 species
UGGGGAAUCUUGCGCAAUGGGCGAAAGCCUGACGCAGCAACGCCGCGUGAGGGAUGACGGCCUUCGGGUUGUAAACCUCUUUCAGGAGGGACGAAGCUUCCAGGGUUAAUAGCCCAUGGGGUGACGGUACCUCCAGAAGAAGCCCCGGCUAACUACGUGCCAGCAGCCGCGGUAAUACGUAGGGGGCAAGCGUUGUCCGGAAUCAUUGGGCGUAAAGCGCGUGUAGGCGGCUUGGUAAGUCUGGUGUGAAAACUUGGGGCUUAACCCCAAGCCUGCACUGGAUACUGCCUGGCUAGAGUCCGGGAGGGGAGAGCGGAAUUCCCAGUGUAGCGGUGAAAUGCGCAGAUAUUGGGAAGAACACCGGUGGCGAAGGCGGCUCUCUGGAACGGUACUGACGCUGAGACGCGAAAGCGUGGGGAGCGAACA